GCCAGGCCGUGCCGGCGGCCGGGCAGGGUGGGCUCUGAGAGGAGGAAGGAGGGCAGCCGGUCUCCGUGGUGCCCGCACCGCGGCUGUGAUGGGGUGCGGAACACUGUCCUCAUGGGGUCUUUGUCUUAUUCCCUCCUUCACCCCAGUACCGGUGAUGCGAUGCCAGAGGAGCUUCAGACCCCUGUAUCGCAUCCCCAUGCUGCGCAGGAGCUGUGUAUACCGGCAGCAUGGGGUAAGGCUGGAUCUCACCUCAAGAAGCCCUCCUAGGGUGCAGGAGCUGCACCAUAAUUGUGGAGGCGUGUGUCUGUUGUAUUUACACAAACUAGCCCUGUUCUGCAAGAGCUCAUGUCCACCUGAGGUUCAGCAAGUGCAAAAGUACUCCUGGCAAUGUAAUUCAUCUCCAAGAAAAAUGCUGAAGAGCAGCGUAAGGAGAUUUUCUUCUAUUUGUUUCCUCAAGCCAACAUUUCUGUGUUUUGAGGGAUUGUAACAAAAGCAGCUACCAACAGGACUGCUUGGAUCUGCAGCUGCUGGCAGAGCCCCUCCCAGAGGAGAAGCCCAAAGACCACAGUAUGAGAGCACUACCACUUUUGCUAAGCUAUCCCAGUGACUUGGUCAUUGCUUUGUAAAUAUUGAAAUACAUAUAAUGUGAAGAGGAAUACAGAACAUUAAGGGUCUUAAAGCUAAUGCCCUUGCUUGUGGCAUAGUGAUAGUAACAAGUUGGGAAACAAUCAGAGGAAUUAACACAUUGUCUUAAGAUAAUAUAAAAAAGAUAGGAAGGAUCUAGAUAGCCAGCUGUUUAUACAGCAUAACUUGUACUGGUGAUGUAGAGAUUACACCAACUGUCUUUUGGCCUGGAAGUAUGGAAGGGAAUCCAAACCUUUACAGGCUAUCUUUAAAGGGCUCCUUGUAUUUUUAUGUAUAUGUAUUCUGUUAGAACAAGCCCUGAAAAACAUGGCAAAAUAAGGUUUUGCUUUUCAUUUGUAACGUGGACGUGAGCCAGCACUAAACAUACUGUAAAAGUAGCAGCUACACAGAUACAACAUAGAAGUUUUGUGCUUAAUAUACUCCUUUAUCUUCUAAGCAUGGCAAAGUCCUCAGCAGCUGUCAUAAUCCAAAAUAAACGGUAACAUACAUCAUCCAUGAGGUAUGAUCUAACUUGUGCAUCCAAUUUUCCAGUGUAAAAAAAGGGCACUCUUGCUCAUCCCUCUUCACAAAUAUGGGAUCCCAUGUGCAGUACCUCACCUUAGCCAUCCUUGUACCAGUUGAAGUGUUCUGUCAUUUGCACUCCUGCUCCUACUCAUACUCCCCGUAUAACCCAGCCAAAUACACUGCAACAUUGUGUUCCAGCUCUGUGAAUGCAAUUUAGGUUGCUCUGAUACAGCAGAGGGAGGAAACAGAUGGAAGCUCUUUGCAAACAUGAGGCCUCUCUCUGGUCUUGUUUCACCUGGACUUCAGCAUUUCACCAAGGAAGACACGCACCCACAGGAAGUCACACUCUGACUCUUUCUGCAAGGCUGGGAUUGGUUUUGUACUUGCCAGUAAGCCUACUUGACUCACUUACAAUUGGUGUUCCUGCUUUAUACAUCCCCCAUUUUCUUGCUCAUCUUUGUGUAAUAUUUCCAGCAUGAAUCUAUUGAGGAAGGGAACUGGCCUUCACACUCAGUAGCGGGUGAGUGGUAAAGGAAAAGUA